rnacentral:rRNA from 1 species
GUGGGGUAAAGGCUUACCAAGGCGACGAUCAGUAGCCGACCUGAGAGGGUGAUCGGCCACAUUGGAACUGAGACACGGUCCAAACUCCUACGGGAGGCAGCAGUGGGGAAUAUUGCACAAUGGGGGGAACCCUGAUGCAGCAACGCCGCGUGAAGGAAGAAGUAUUUCGGUAUGUAAACUUCUAUCGACAGGGAAGAAAGAGAUGACGGUACCUGAAUAAGAAGCACCGGCUAAAUAC